rnacentral:piRNA from 1 species
CCUAUCUGAACCCACCGAGGAGCG